rnacentral:rRNA from 1 species
AGAGUUUGAUCCUGGCUCAGAUUGAACGCUGGCGGCAGGCUUAACACAUGCAAGUCGAGCGGGGAAGAGUAGCUUGCUACUUUACCUAGCGGCGGACGGGUGAGUAAUGCUUAGGAAUCUGCCUAUUAGUGGGGGACAACAUCUCGAAAGGGAUGCUAAUACCGCAUACGUCCUACGGGAGAAAGCAGGGGACCUUCGGGCCUUGCGCUAAUAGAUGAGCCUAAGUCGGAUUAGCUAGUUGGUGGGGUAAAGGCCUACCAAGGCGACGAUCUGUAGCGGGUCUGAGAGGAUGAUCCGCCACACUGGGGACUGAGACACGGCCCAGACUCCUACGGGAGGCAGCAGUGGGGAAUAUUG